rnacentral:rRNA from 1 species
GAUGAACGCUGGCGGCGUGCCUAAUACAUGCAAGUCGAGCGAACAGAUGAGGAGCUUGCUCCUCUGACGUUAGCGGCGGACGGGUGAGUAACACGUGGAUAACCUACCUAUAAGCCUGGGAUAACUUCGGGAAACCGGAGCUAAUACCGGAUAAUAUAUUGAACCGCAUGGUUCAAUAGUGAAAGACGGUUUUGCUGUCACUUAUAGAUGGAUCCGCGCCGCAUUAGCUAGUUGGUAAGGUAACGGCUUACCAAGGCAACGAUGCGUAGCCGAUCUGAGAGGGUGAUCGGCCACACUGGAACUGAGACACGGUCCAGACUCCUACGGGAGGCAGCAGUAGGGAAUCUUCCGCAAUGGGCGAAAGCCUGACGGAGCAACGCCGCGUGAGGGAUGAAGGUCUUCGGAUCGUAAAACUCUGUUAUUAGGGAAGAACAAAUGUGUAAGUAACUAUGCACGUCUUGACGGUACCUAAUCAGAAAGCCACGGCUAACUACGUG